rnacentral:rRNA from 1 species
CCUACGGGAGGCAGCAGUGAGGAAUAUUGGUCAAUGGGCGCGAGCCUGAACCAGCCAUGUAGCGUGAAGGAUGACUGCCCUACGGGUUGUAAACUUCUUUUAUAAAGGAAUAAAGUGUGGCACGAGUGCCUUUUUGUAUGUACUUUAUGAAUAAGGAUCGGCUAACUCCGUGCCAGCAGCCGCGGUAAUACGGAGGAUCCGAGCGUUAUCCGGAUUUAUUGGGUUUAAAGGGAGCGUAGAUGGGUUGUUAAGUCAGUUGUGAAAGUUUGCGGCUCAACCGUAAAAUUGCAAUUGAUACUGGCAGCCUUGAGUACAGUUGAGGGAGGCGGAAUUCGUGGUGUAGCGGUGAAAUGCUUAGAGAUCACGAAGAACUCCGAUUGCGAAGGCAGCUUACUAAACUGCCACUGACAUUGAUGCUCGAAAGUGUGGGGAUCAAACAGGAUUAGAUACCCCUGUAGUC